rnacentral:rRNA from 1 species
CAAGUCGAACGAGGGUAGCAAUACUCUAGUGGCGGACGGGUGAGGAAUACGUAGGAAUUUGCCCUUAAGUGGGGGAUAACCCGGGGAAACCCGGAUUAAUACCGCAUGAUCUUUUCGAAGCAAAGCCGGGGACCGCAAGGCCUGGCGCUUUUGGAGAAGCCUACGUCGGAUUAGCUAGUUGGUGAGGUAAUGGCUCACCAAGGCUGCGAUCCGUAACUGGUCUGAGAGGAUGAUCAGUCACAUCGGAACUGAGACACGGUCCGAACUCCUACGGGAGGCAGCAGUGGGGAAUAUUGGACAAUGGGCGAAAGCCUGAUCCAGCAAUACCGCGUGUGUGAAGAAGGCCUUCGGGUUGUAAAGCACUUUAGGUCGGAAAGAAAAAACUUGAGUUAAUACCUUAAGUCUUGACGGUACCGACAGAAUAAGCACCGGCUAACUCUGUGCCAGCAGCCGCGGUAAUACAGAGGGUGCAAGCGUUAAUCGGAUUUACUGGGCGUAAAGCGUGCGUAGGUGGCUGUUUAAGUCGGAUGUGAAAGCCCUGGGCUUAACCUGGGAACUGCAUUCGAUACUGGAUAGCUAGAGAUCGGUAGAGGGCAGCGGAAUUCCGGGCGUAGCGGUGAAAUGCGUAGAUAUCCGGAGGAACACCGAUGGCGAAGGCAACUGCCUGGGCCUGAUCUGACACUGAGGC